rnacentral:pre_miRNA from 12 species
UUCCGCUGGUAAUCUGGAAGACUAGUGAUUUUGUUGUUCUCAAAACCUUGCUUGAAAAUCUCAACAAUUUAUAAGAAAAAAAGAAACAUAAAAUCACUAUCUUCUGAUUAACUGCUGGAA